GGAGUUUUCCAACAAAUCGUAGAAAUCCCACUUAUAAUUAAGCGCUGAAGAAGAAGAGAUUCUGAAAGUUUCCAGCUUGAUCUUCAUUUCAUCUUCACUGAGGAGAGGGGAUGAGGAAGAGAAGUAUUUCAACAGUGACUCACAUUCUAUGUGGCAGAAAUGUUCUACGGGGACUGAUUAAGUCACAGCUCUGUUCGGAUUCGAUAACUCAUAUGUUGAUGUUUGCUAGUCAAGGUCUUAGAUAUAGAAUAUUGGAAGUCACUCUUACUAAGCUUGGGAAGGCUGGUGAGACUGUGAAGGUAGCUCCUGGAUAUUUCAGGAAUCACUUGAUACCGGAUAUGUUUCUUGUACCGGAUAUCGAAAAGUAUGCCUACCUUGUCAGAGAACAACGCAAGGAAACGUUUCCUCUAGUAUCACCUGGAGUGAAUGACAGGGGUGAGAUACGUUUGAUGCCUGCAGAUGUGAUGAAAAUCUCUGGAUCUUCUUCAUCUGCUUCUGCCGCUUGCAGCAGCUUGAUGCAAGCUAAAAGGGGAAAUUUGCUUGGAUAAUUUGUCAGUAAAAGAACCUCAUGGAACUUCUAGCUCUACUUUUAGGCGAAGAGGGCGCCCUGGAGAAAUUUUUUAUGCCUCUUAUGGCAUGUGCAAUCAUCUAUCCAACUGAAGUUCAUUUAUUUGUCUUCUACUCCUGACUGUCAAGACUACUGCUGGUUCAACCCAGUUAUCUGUUGUGCGCUCUGCCAAAACUGACAAUCCUCAAUUAAAGUUGAAAUUGCACCCUGGUAACAUGGGCGUGGAUGCAAAGCAGGUCACAAAGACCCUUGAUGUUUGUGCUUCUCAGCCAGACAGUAAUGAUGAGAUAAUUCCGAUUACAAUGUAAAAACUCAGUCCAACACUAAAGGUUGCUUGGACUCUCAGUGAGGUUACGCAACUUGUGGAGGGUGUCUCGAGGUAUGGAGCUGGCAGGUGGUCUGAAAUGAUCAAGCGACUUGCAUUCUGUUCGUACCAAACUUCUGCCCAUCUCAAGAAGAAGAACACGAGGAAACAAGGUGCAAUGCCCAUCCCAGCACACAUACUUUUACGUGGAAGAGACCUUGCAGAGAAGCAUUCACAGGCACCCCCUGAUCUAUGUGGAAAAGUAGGAGGUGGCAGAGAUGGAGUACUAAGGCGCCAAGUGUAAAAGGUCUGGUUUCUUGUAACUAUAUACUCCCUCCGUCCCUAAUUAGAUGACCUACUUGGCUUUAAGUUUGGUCCCAUAAAUAGAUAAACUAUUUUUGUUACUAUAAGAAAUAUGUAUAAUUUGAUAGUUAUGUUUAUAUUCGUUACGUAGGUGUUUUAAAAUGCUUUUCAACCGUAUAAAGUUUA